AAUAAGCUUACUUGUGUGUGUUUAAUAUUUUUAUGUAGAUUGACUUGAAGUGAAGUGGGUAGAUCGGAUCAACACAACAAAGCACACUAUCCAGAUCAAUUCCGGUAGCUUUUGUUUUAUGUUUGAAGAUUUAUAUGGCAUGUAUAGAGUUUAAAUGAAAUGAAGUAAAGAUGUUAUAAACUAGUUAACAACAUUUUGUACUAAAAUAGUUUUUGGUUAGUAGCAGUAGUUUGAGUUUGAAAAUUUACCAUAAAUCAUGAAAAUCUAAUUAGAGUUUGAAUAAAAUAUGAAAUUAAAUCUUUUUGAAUCUAGUUUCACAUAGAAGAAACAGUGUAAGCAAAAGGCUUUCAUAUCAGGAGAUAUUUGAAUUUUUGUGAGACAAGGUUAGAGUGAUUUUGAACUCCCCUAUUCUGAUUUGUAAAAAUCAUUAAAAAUUGUAAAAAAAUUAAUUAGGAGUCAUACUAUAUAUGUAUGGAUUCCUUAUUGAGUCUAUUUUUAAGAGAAACAAACGUCUUGGUUAUUUGAAUUCUGUACAUGGAGAAAUUUGGUUCGUAGUGCACAGGGGUCAGAGCAGCUGAACCCUGAAAUAGGGGAGAAUCCAACUAAUAAACUGUACUAAUUGGCCCAACCAAAAAUUCUAGAAAAAAAUUAGUAAGUAGAUAUAUGAGCCUAGAUUUGGGGAAAAUUUACGGAUUUGGAUUUUGAGUUUUGUAACUCGAGAUAUGAUUUUUUUUGCGUCUGUAACGCAGUUGGACAGCUUGUCUAGAAAGUGUGAUAUAAAUUGUUUGAAUUUGUUUAAGUGCUCAAAUAAGUUUAGUAAUGUCUUGUGCUCGACUCCGGCGACGGUAUCGGGUAAAGGGGGCGUUGCAGUAUACCACCUAGGUCUUAUAGAGUUGAUCUUCGAAACAACAGUGCGAUUGCAGGAGGUUUCAAACACUUCAUUAUCCAUGUGUGCAUGUCGUGGCCACGUGUGCUAAAGUCUCGCUCAAUGUUGAACAAUUUUUCGAUGAUGUGUGCACACUCGAGUGCACGUUGCGUGUCUGGGAGAAUGAGUUUCCUGUCCUGCCUGAUCUAUCUACGUAGGAGGUGCCUCCGACGAUUUUUGAGCUUGUCCUAGACAAAGGGUUGCGUAGGAAUCCGAAAUGUCGUCCACAAUCAUCUAGAAUCCAUAGUGAAAUGGAGAUUAGGGAGAAAUCUGACAGUAAACGUUAUGGAUUAUGCAAAUUAGCUAGUCAUAAUCAUAGUAAAUGCCAGCAGCGAAAUUACCAUGUUGGACAAUUGUCACAAUCGGGUUAGAAUUGAGCUUAUGUAAUCCAAUGCACCUAAUUUAUAUUACAAAGUUUGUUCUAAUUUUUAAUGUUGUAAUGUAUUUAAUUUAUAUUACAAAGUUUGUUCUAAUUUUUAAUGUUAUAAUGUAUUUAAUUUAUAUUACAAAAUUUGUUCCAAUUUUAGUGUUUUAAUGUUGUAAUGUUGCAAUUAAUCUAAUUUAUGACCACAAAGUUUGUUCUAAGUUUUAAUGUUGCAAUUAAUCUAAUUAAAUAAAUACAAAGAUUUUAUUUUUCUUGAUUUAUAUUUUUUAAAAUAAAAAAGUACAAACUUUGUAAUAUUUAAAUUACAAGAAACCGCUAAAAUUGAUGGUUUGAUAGUGUGGUCUUAGGGGUAUAUUUCUACGGGGGUCAACGUUCACAUUGUGGGUGAUCGCGGCGAUCAACAUCCUCUUCAGUUGCUGGUGGGGGUGUGCGAAACAUGAAAGAAAAAUCAUAUGCCCCGAAAGCCAUCGAUAAACUUGAGCCAGGAGGAGUGUUAUACUGCGGUGGAUACAACCCAACAGGAGUGGAGUAAUGCAGUGGAUACGGGUCGGGAGGAGUGUUAUAAUGCAGUGGUACUGGACUAAAGAUAUCAAACCCAGAGUGAUAUUUGUGUCCUGAUAAGCCCGAGAAAUAGUUAUUGACCCCCAACUCCGGAUGAUAAAAACUAUUCGCGGAAUGUGUUGCGACUGCUCGGGCUCGGGCUGUGGCUCGGGAUCUGGCUUUGGCUCGACCUCUAUAUCAGGCAUUGGAUCAUAUGCCCCAAGUCUAUGCAUGUGCCAAGAGACUAUAAUUGACUGCCCAUCAAGUAAAUAUAGUUUUCUCGUACUAGAGUACCAUUGUAUGUACUCUAACGGUGGUUGCAAAUAGGAAGAAAUAUCUAUCUGAGGUUUCUACGCCAUCUAAUUAUCCCACACUGCAACAUAUUUUCGGUGCACAACUCCCCAAUUAUUUCUAUGUUUUCCUCUCUUGUUGAUCAUGUGAAUCUUCCCCACCUGAGGAUCCAGGAUAUACUGGAUGCAACCAAACUGCCAGAGUGCUCGAUCCUUGUUAUACUACUCGACUGUCUGGAAAUUGAUAAUUAGUGCAUUAAUGCACUACAUGUAAGAAUGAAUGUGGGCUAAAGAGGAUAUAACCGCCGCAAUUUCUGGUUUCCAAUAUGACAUCUAGAUAAAUUGCAUGAUUAAUAACAUGGUUAAAAUUUAACACAGUUCGAGUAAGAUAUACAAAGUAAUUACAUGUCACGAAUACUGGAAUAGCUUACCCCUUCCCCGGUAUGUUGUUCAAUCAUCAGACGAUAUAUUGGGACAGUGUACGACCUCCCGAUACCCGGAUAAAAACUCUAUCUAUGAAAACAAAUUACAUGUUAGAAUAGUAUCUUUAAAAUAGUAUCAUUAAAAAAUGUCAAUUAAUAACAAGUUAAAUUUUAUCACCUGUUCACUAGUGGAAAUGCGUAAGGUUUGUGCCUAACCGAUGCCAAGAAUGGCAUCCGAUAAAGAGCCCAUGACUGCAACAAUUGAAGGCAUCCGCCUAUGUUUACGACAUCAUGCUUUGUCAUACGAUACAACAUAGCCAGAACUGCGGAACCCCAACUAUACAAGCGAACAUUCAGUAAAUUAGUUAAUAGGGGUAAAUACAUCAAAUGAACCCUAUUGCUGUUCGCAUCCUGUAUCAGUACACUCCCUAUAAUAUGCAUAAUGUACGCUCGAGCUGUGCACAUCACCUCAUACCCAGUGGUAUUAAUUGAUAAAUGUUCAAAAUUGGCUUUUCAGCCAUGAAAAUUUUAAGCCUGUAAAUUUGGACUCAGCAUCGUUAGGCGAGGGCGAGACUUCUAGUAGACUAUAACAGAGGGCAGUCGGCUCAGCUAUCGUACUUACACCCGUUACGGCACUCCUGUCGAUUGGGAGUCCAAGUUGCAAUGAAACAUCAUCCGAAGUGACAGUGCACUCCCCACACGACAAAUGAAAGUGUAGGUCUUCGGGCGCCAACGCUCAACCAAUGCGGAUAUUAAAUCGUACCGCAAAUCGAACAUCCAGAUCAAUGAUGUUGACUCGAAUCCAACUAGCUCCAAAUAUGGCAUCAAUCGUUCAUCUAGGGAAUAUCCUAAAUCAUUCACCCGACCUCUUAAUGCGUGAUACGGGCCAUGACAGUAUUAAAUUACAUAAAAUAGUUAUAAUAACAUAAUUUAUUUUCAUAAAUUACGUAGAUCUUUUUUUAAGGGAACCCGUGAUUAACAAAUAAUAAUAUAUUACCAUAUUUUUAACUGUGAUUGAUAUGUGACCAUCGUUUUUAAUCAAUGAACCCAUUGCGAUACUUGCAAUUUCAAAACAAAUUUCGGUUAUUAAUUUCAAAGUUUGAUGGAUUUUAAAUAUGUAUCAAAAUACCUAAAUUUUAUAUAUUGCUUUUAAUUACAAAAAAAAAUACCAAACAGCUUUGUCCACAUCAUAUUUUUUUCUAUACUACAUUAACAAAAUAAAUAUAUCUUACAAAUUCCAACUCAAACUCCAACUCAAUGGUCCCAUUCACAAAUUCCAUCUCAAUGGUUUAAUCUUUUACCUACAUAAAAAACAAAAAAUAUAUAUUAAAAAAAUAAAAAUAACAUGUCAAUAAAAAAUAUAACAAAAAACAUAACAUAAAUGAUACAUAAUAAAUACGAAUAUUAUAAUUAUUUUAAAAUGAUAAUAAGUAAAAUGUGUUGGUUUAAAAUAUAAUAUAUAUAAUAAUAUGCCAAUUAAUUAUUGUUAAAAAAUAUAAUUUUUUUUCUGCAUAGAACUUCAAAAGAAAUUUCAUUUAUAAUAUUUAUAAAUAACAUAAAAUAAAAUUUAAAAACAUAAACUCUUAUUCUCAAUUAUAAAAUCUUAAAAAAUUAGAACAUGUAAACUAAUUCCUAAUUUAUCUCAUAAAUUUCAAAUUCCAUAUCAAUGGUCUCGUCUUUUACCUACAUAAAAAAAUAAAAAAUAAAAAAAUUAAAAUAAUCAAAAUAACAUGCCAAAUAAAUUUCAUAAAAAAUAAAUAUAAUCAACCUACAACACACAUAACAUAUAAAUUACAUAAAAAACACACAUAACAAAUAAAUUACAUAAAAAAUAAAACAUUAAAACUAAAUUAUGAAUGAAUAAAAAUAUAAAAUAAAUACAAAAAUACCUUAAUAGCUCUUUUUAACCAAAUAAUACCUUACAAAAAUAAAAUAAAAAAUUAAAUCUGAAUUAAAUCAACAAUAAUAACAACAAAAUCAAAUUAAAUUUAUAUUAAUCCAUUAAUUUAUAACAAAAAAAAUUACAUUUUCUAUUUAUUUUUUCCUUCUCUUUCUACUUCUCUCUAUCUAUUAUCUUUCUCUUUGUUUUUUUUUUUACUUUGUUUUUCCCUUCCCUUCCAACCCUCUUCUUCUCCUUCUUCUUCAUCUCUUCUUUUCUUCUCCUUCUCUUUCUUCUCCUUCACUCACCGGCCAAAAGUGAACCAAACAUACAAUAACAACAAAUACCCUGUAUGAGUCGUCCCAUCGCCUAUGCCUACCACCGUGGAGCCACCUCUGCCAGGGCAUCACUAGUGUUGCCUUUGCCAGCGCGUCACCAAUGCCGCCUGUGCCGUCUCCUCCAUCACUGAGUGUUGCCUCUUCCCUAGGCAUGACCUAGUGUGCUGUCCCAUCGUGGCAGCGGGUCAAUUUUUGGGUCCAAUUUUUACCGUAUACGGCCCAUAUUUGACCUGUAUUUUACCUUGGGUGUUGCCUAUCUACAUGGCUCCACCAUCAUUUUAUUUAUUUAUUCAUUUUUCUUGCUGAUUUGUGCCAGAAAAUCAGGGUGGUGCCGCUUAUGCACCACCCUCCACUCAUUUAAAUGUACCAUUUUGGUACAUAAUGCUUGCAACAACCCUUUUAGGUUUUUUUAAAUAUUAUUUGGAUAAAAAACCCUAAAAAAAGUUGAAGUAUCAAAUUAGAAAAAAAUGUCAAAUUCAAUUACUAAAUUACAUCCAAAAUAGGCUUAGGUACCAAGAAAAAUUAUCAAAUUUAAAUACCAAAUUGAGCUAAAAAAAUGUUUAAUUACCAAAUUAGAAAAAAGUGUAAAAUUUAAGUACUAAAAGUUAUAUUAAGUCUUAUGAAUUUAGACCUGAAUGAAGCAAUGGGCCGGAUCCACAGUGUAAAUCACAAGUCCAACCCACACCGAAAAUUUUCCACGGACAAAAACACCCAUACACUUAUCCUUUAAUGACGCUUAAGUCCCAGCAAACUUUAUGUGCGCAUUUAAUUCACCGUCCACGUCACUAGUUCUUAUCCAUCCAUGAGGGACAUUAUCGUCAGAACACAGAAAAAACAAUUCCGUAAUAUACCAAAUCUUUGGGACAUUAUAGUAAUUCAGGCAAAAAUAAUAUUGUAUUACCGCUGGGACCACCGCCCUUCCCCUUCACAACCAAGCAUUGUUCUUCGUUUCAAUUUUCAAAAGUUUUUUAAAAGAAUAAAAUCUUUUUUUUUUGAAAAAAAUAUUAAAUAUUAAAUUAUUAAAUAUUUUUCUUUCGUUUUCUAUCUCCCCUUCCUCUGCAGAAUUCUCUCUGGUAGUAAUCUGAAAUCGAUUCUUUUUCUGAAGGUUCUCUCUCUGAAACUCUUCCAUUUUCCUUGUUUUAAACGAACAUCGUUUAGACAUUGGCGAUCUGCUUCCAUUUCUUGCUUCGUCGCUUUGGUUAUCGGAUGCGAGUUUCAUCUCUCUCAGUCUCUCUCAGUGUCUUUCUUUUUGUCUUCAUCUUUUCUUUGGAAAAAAGUUGCGUAAUUUUGUUGUGAAUGUUCAAUUGUUGUUUCGCUUUUUUUUUUCUUUUUCCUUGAGCUGCAUAUUUCUUUCACAUUGGAAUGCACUUGAAGUUUUCGUCUUAAUUCCUGUUUGUCUUCCGAGAAAACGGAGAGGUAGAAGUUGCCGAAAGUUCUUUGAUAUUUCUUAUUAAUUUUGGUGCUCUCUUUAAUGAUAGAAGUGGUCAAAAGAUAGAGACUGAUUCGAAUUCGGCUAUGGUGUGUCUAUGCGGUUGAAUUUAGCCGUGGCCGAGUGCUUGCGUUCGUAUAAUUAUAAUAUCUUAUUUUCGUAGAUUUGUUAUUCUAUUUUUCUUAAUAAAAAGAAUACGCGCCUUUUUUUUUCUUUUUUCUAUUUUGGUCAAAAUACGCCCCCUUUUCUCGGUAAGGAAAUAGAAAGAAAGUAUUGCUGAAUAUGUUUUUUUUUUUUUGGCUAGGCGUUAAAGCAUGGAUAACUGUUUGCAUCCUUGUAUUUUUAUUUUUUAUUUUUUUGAAAAAAAAGGAAGUCAAUGGCAGGGAUUUUUCUUUUAGUUCAGGAAAAGGUCCUCCAUACCUCUUUUUUUUAUGAUUUAUGUAAUUAUUUAUUAGUUUGGAUUUAAAUUGAUUUGGUUUUAUCUGAUUCGGCUUCAAUAAAUCGAGGACUUAAAUCAGAAAGCUUUUUUUAAAUGUUUUAUAUUUUUAAGGCUAAGUUUUUAAAAAUAAUGGAUUAAGGACUUUACAUGUAGGAGAAAUCUGAUUGAAUUUGCUGAUGUAUUUAUUGCAAACUUUUCCUUGUUUGAAAAUCCAGAGAGUUCAUUUUUUAAAUAACACAUUGUUUAAUGAAUGAGUACAAAGAGGUAACGAGGUAAAGUCUUAUAUUAGCUUCCGUGUUUCUGACCAUGUAAAGAUUUACCCAUGGCCUUCAGUCCACAUUUCUUUCUAGGUCUAAAGCACCAUGUAUAAUUUCUUUGGACAGAAACAGAAUUAUGUUUUAUACUUUUUCAUACAAGCCUUAUAAAGACCAAGUCUAAUAUAUUUGUCACUGCUCUUUCUUUACAAUAUGAUUUAUGACAAAUAAUUUAGUUGAGUUGUAUUGUUUUUUGGUGAUUGUCCAGCCCAUCCCUGUUUUCAUCUAUGGGACAUCAUUUAAGCUGAGUGUAAGUAAAUGGAUUGAUAGAUGAAGUUCAACUCUUACACUGGAGUUUUGUUGUAGGUCUCAUAGACUCGUUGGUUUUAGAUGAUACGAACUGGUUGCAGCUUGUAGAAGCUGCAUUUGAGGAUGUUGAUAAUUUUCUGGGUGAUACUCAAUCAUUCUUAUAAUGAGAAGUCGGUUCCUGUCAACAUCAUACAUUUCAUGCUACAGUUUAGCUGCAGUAAACAGUGUAUGCAAGCUAGUGAUCAUGCCUAUGUCGAUACAGUCGACAUCUCUAUUUGGAGGUUGUUAGAAGUACAUUGACAAAUUGUUGAUUAUUAUCUGCUACAACUGCAAUAAUGGAAAGGUUAGUUUCUUCCCACCGCUCUUAAUAUCUGUAAGUUUGUCAAGUUCUCAUUUUUUCUCCUUUUUUUUUUCACUUAGGUAUAAAAUUUUAGAAGAGCUUGGAGAUGGCACCUGUGGUAGCGUGUUCAAAGCCUUCAAUAUAGAAACAUUUGAGAUUGUAAGGAGCUCUUUCUCCCCUAGUUGCUUUUUAUCUUUCAGUUUAAAUAACCACUCGUUUAUUUUUUUUUUGUCAAUAAGAUAUGUUCUUGUGCCCAUUUUAUACCUCACAUAUGGUAGAAUACAUUGCAGAUAAAGAAUAAUGAAUGUAGGAUCAAUUUUGAAAUCACUUUGUGAUUUUGAAUCAUUAAGUGAAGUCUGUAUUGGUUACUUGGUCAAUUGUUCAUCUACCAGCAACUAGUUUUUGGGGUUUAAGUUAAAAUUUGUAUCUGACUUCUCAUUUAUCUUAGGAUGUCUGAACCUCAAUUGAUGAUCCCUGUCUCUCUACCUACCAGGCUGCAUAUGCCUCCUGUCCCAUCCCCUUCCUUGUUUUUUUUUUGGGGGGGGGGGGGGUUGGCAAGCAUUUUGAUUUGUCUGUUAGAAGAGAAGUUAAAACGAGAUUCUAAAGCUGUGAAUUCUAAUGGGGAUGUAAUGUAUGAGAUGGAACACUGUUCUUGGAACUUAGAUUUUAAAGGAAUAGAAAAAUGGGUUGGCUGGAUAUAUGCAUGACGUGAGAUAUUAUAGCAUAUAUACAUAUAAGAGAAGUCCUUUAUGUAGAAGCUUCGAGCAUAUAUAUAUGUAUAUAGAAACAGGAUUAGGAAAACCUAGGAGUUCAAUAGAAGAAUAUUGGUUGGUUUACUCUUUUAAAAAGUUUGAUGCAUUUGGUUCUUUUUGAUAAUGUCAUCUCAAUGAGCGUUCAUCAACUUUGGCUAUAAUCUUUAGGAAAACCUUGGAUUAGAAAAAUGAACUCAGUCUAUUGUGGGUGGUUGUCUUUUAUUCUUGUCUGUAUUCCUUUCUAAGUUUUACCAAGAUAAUAGUGAAUUUACAAAAUGUAGAACUUACUUGAGCUCUGCCUCAUUGCUUUUGUAAAUGUUCCAAUCUAGGUUGCUGUUAAGAAAAUGAAAAGGAAGUUCUACUUUUGGGAAGAGUGUAUGAAUCUAAGAGAAGUCAAGGUAUGCUGUGAUAUUUCCUUGAAUGUUUUGCUUUUCACCCAAGCCUUCAUCAAGAGAGCAUGUUCCAUUUAUUCUCCACCAUUUAUGGAUACAUGCUUUUUCUUGAUGGUAUCAAUAAUUUAUUCUCCACAGGCCCUUUGUAAGCUAAAUCACCCUAAUAUUGUAAAGUUAAAGGAGGUUGUCAGGGAAAACAAUGAACUAUUCUUCAUUUUCGAGUACAUGGUAAGGAUGCUUUUCAAAGUUCACAUUAUUAUUCAGUGGAAGCAUGAGUUUGUGAAAUUUUUUCUUCUGCUUAAAUACUGUACUUUUGAUCUCUGAUAUUAAAGUGUUAUGUUGCUUUAUUUAAUUGUUUUUGGAAAAUACAAAGCUGGGAAUGUUACUAUGAUUAGAGACAGGGGCUAGGAACUUUGGAGAGGUCUAGUUCAUGCCUUAGUUACAAAUGCUAGUUUGUAACCAUUUCCUAGCCAGAGGCUAUGCUUCUAGGGGAAUCUGUUUGUUGAAUUUAAAAUUUUCAAUGUUUAAGCUUGUUCAAAAUUUGGAAGGCUGGCCUUUGUUUAACCAAAACUACUAUGGUUGAUUUCUGAAGCAUUCUAGAAUUGAUUUUAGUGCAAGACUUGUGCAGGUACUUGCUUAACCCCUCUCUCCCAAACAAACACAAAACCUCUAAUUUAGAUAUCUCUUUUCAACCAAAUAUCAUGAUUUCUUUUGAAAAUAAAGGUUUCAAGUGACUGUGUUUGCCUGCUAAUCUCAAUGUCGAUUGUGCUUCUUUCAUUUAAACAUAAUGCUACAUUAAUUGUUUACUUCUGUAUUGUUCAUUAUAAACUGUUAUUUUGAUCUUUCAUUUGAAGUAAUCAGUAGUGUGAUGUACGAUUGCUGGAAUCAAGCAUGAAUUUGUAGGAAACACCGUUGGGUUCUUUUUAUGAGAGCUUAAUUUAACUUCUUUCUAGGAGCAUAAUCUUUACCAAAUCAUGAAAGAGCAACAAAGACCUUUUUCUGAAGGGGAGAUACGCAGCUUCAUGUCUCAGAUGCUGCAAGGACUUGUCCACAUGCAUGGGAAUGGAUAUUUUCAUCGAGAUCUGAAACCUGGUAAAUGUUCCUUUCUUUUCGGUGCAUUCUUUAAGUCCUUUUUGCAAUUGAUGGUGGAUAUCUAUAUAGUAAUCUAUCUGUUUGUUUGUUUGUUUGUUUUUAAAGAAAACUUGCUGGUCACCAAGGAUUUUCUCAAAAUUGCUGAUUUUGGACUGGCGAGAGAAGUAUUGUCAAUGCCUCCUUAUACAGAAUAUGUUUCCACUAGGUGGUGAGUUUGUGUUUGUUCAUGCUCAGGCAAUGUGGGCGCAGUCUCACUGAUUUCUUCAUAACUCUAUCCUGUUUAUUCAGGGUUAGUUUUCUCAUCUAAUGAUUUUUGGGUUAACUGUGUUAGGUACCGUGCUCCCGAAGUCUUGUUGCAGUCUUCCUAUUACACUACUGCAAUUGGUAUAUGGAUUUAAGUCUCUGAGUGUGUGUACAUGUGCAUAUGCACAUUUUUAUUUUCAUUGAGCUUUGCUUUGUUUCCAUUAAUGUAAUAUGUUGAGAUUUUAUAAUGCUUUCUUUAGCUUGAAUGAUGUCUGAUAAUGGUAACACUUACAGAUAUGUGGGCUGUUGGUGCAAUAUUAGCAGAGCUUUUCACAUUGUCUCCUAUUUUCCCUGGUGAAAGGUGAUUUAUUAUUCUAAGUUCUCCUCUUUUUAGUUUUGGUGGAAGAUGGUAUAAAUUAAGACAAUCCUUUUGUUCUUACAAGUCUAUAUUUUCUCAGGCAUAAAUGAGCACAAGUUUGGCAAAGAUUUUUGUGUCUUAAUACCAUGUACUAACUUUGAUACAUUCCUUUAUAUAUAUAUAUAUAUAGAGAGAGAGAGAGAGAGAUAAGCUGCGUUAUAUUCCUGAAGUUUUGGUCUUUAUAAAUUUUCCUAUAAUAUAUUGUUGAUAUGAUGUGACCCUUGACUUUGGUGAUUCUGCUGGGUCUUUAGUUAUGAUUUCUAAUGUCGAUAAUUUCAUGGGUUAAAAUUACUAGUUUGAUUGAUUGUAUGUAUACAAUAUCCUAAUAACAUAUGCAAGGAAAAUUUUCCAUGUGGCCUUCAGAUAGUUUUAACCUGAACGAAAUUGAUCCAACCUACACAUGCGUAUUUAUUUUUUGGGCUUUUCUGCUUAUGGGCAUUAUGGUGCAUAAAUUUUCUAAUAUCGUCCUCAGUCCAUGCCUCUUUUAUCAUUUUCAAAUACUGUUAUGUGUAUGUACAUGAAAACGUGUGUGCAUGCAUGCAUGAGCGGGGAUUUACAACUAUAGAUACUGAGAAAGGUAAAUUUCUUACCUUUCUGUUUAAUAGUCUUGCCAGUGCUGUGGUCAUAGGAUGCUCACUAUGCUACUAUGUGUAUGUACAUGAAUGUUCAGCUAUGCAUUCAAUGUGGGGAUGCAUAACUAUAUAUAUUGAAGAAGGUAUAUUUGUUAUCUUUCAAUGUACUUAAUCUUGGCAGUGCCGUGAUCCUAAGAAAACUGCUUUACUUACCAUGCAAGUUUCUUAGUGUGUUUGUUCACUAUCUUUUGUUCUUGUUUGUUAAUUCUGAAUGCAUAAGUUUUGUUUUCUGACUUUUACCGCUGAAGAAAGAAUGAGUGUAUUUUUGUUUGCUAAUUGUUCAGAAUACAUUAGUUUUGUUUUUUAACUUCUACCGCAGAAGAAAAGAAAGAUAUAUCAGAACUUUUAAGGAUUUUUUCUUACGGUAUUUCUUUCACAUCCUGGCAGUGAAAUUGAUCAACUAUACAAGAUAUGCUGUGUUCUGGGUGCACCAGAUUGGAUUUCUUUCCCUGAAGCAACAAAUAUCUCUCGUCUAAUCAAUAUAAGCUAUUCUGACGUAAGAUUUUUUUAAUAAAUAUUUAUUAGUUAUCAAUUAUCUGCUAUAGUUUGACCUUUUUUUAAAAAAAAAAAAUUGCUGCCAUUACUUUUGGGCAGAUAUCACCUACCAACCUAUCGGAUAUCAUGCCCAAUGCCAGCUCAGAGGCUGUUGAUUUAAUCUUGGUGUGUAUUGCGGUUGACUAGCAUUUAGCAAAAUGAUAUUUACUGUACUAUAAUAUCUUACACCCCCUGCUUUGACUGCUUGUAGCAACUUUGCUCAUGGGACCCAUUAAGGAGGCCAACGGCAGAACAGGCAUUGCAGCAUCCUUUUUUUAAUGUAUUAUAUGUGUUCUAGAGAUUUAAUGUUUCUAUUUGUAUAAGAUCAAUUUUACUAAAAGGUCCUGACAGGUGGAUGUGCAUGUUCCUCAUCCGCUACUGUGUGAUCCACUUGAGCCGAGGCUAAACAACAUGGGUAAGUUUUGAAGUUCAAUACUAGUUCCCAUGUUAUACAGUUUGAUAACGUUUUCUAUUCACUUUUUUUUUUCCUGGUUCAACCUAUUAAUAUUUUGUUGUACAUUGUGAAGGGGCAAAACCAAAUCUUGAGUUGAAUCUAUGGGAUUUCGGCACUGAACCUGAUGAUUGUUUUCUGGGUUUGACACUUGCUGUGAAACCAAGUGCUUCAAACUUAGGUAAUAUGGUUGUAACUCCCAUGUUUAUAGUUCAGUGGACUGUUGUCGUUUGUAUAAAGAACUAAUAAAUACACGUGGCAUGGGCAGACAUAGUUUUUUAUCCUCAUCUGGUGAUUGUGGAGGAAUAGUGGAGUGGUGUCUUAGAACUUAGGAUUAGGUGUCUACCUCACGAGGCAGAGGUUUAGACAUUCAUGGAGACAUGGAAUUAGAUGAACUAGAAACAUUUAUCUGGUGUUUUGUCACUUAGCGAAGGAUAUUUUAGAAGAUAUGUAAUUUUCCUCUCGACCAACUGAAUAUGCUUUUCUGAAUAUGGGGUAUCUGCUUUAAGCAUCUUUGAAUAACGUCACUGUUCAUGAAUGUCAUUUGAUUGUUAUGGAUAAACUUCAAUCUAUUGGAGCAUGUCUUUUGUAUCAUUUUUCUUUGAAUUCUAUUCUGCCAGAUUUAUGAGGGAUUUACUUUUACUUCUGUUUUUUUUUUUUUUUUGGUUAAAAGAAAGAAUUGACUUGUAUUUUAUUUUCUUGCAGAAAUGGUUCAUACCGUCUCUCAAAGUAUGGAGGAGGUAAGUUGUACAGUGUAAACACAGAAAAUUUGCUCUUUGCUAUAUAUAUAUAUAUAUUUGAUGGGAGUUAGAUUUGUAAUGGCUUACUGCUAAACUUCAUGAUGUAGGAUAUACUGUUUUGUCCUAGACUGAACGAUCAUCCAGAGCAAUCAGGCAAUUCAUAUGAUCCUCAGUAGCUAAGGACCAAGGCUUUGCUUGGUAUGACGAAUGGAAAAGAGUGAGAAUGGAAAUUUUGUUAAUUUAAUCAUUAAGCUGUAAAGUAGGGAAGUGGUUAUGAAUCUUAAACAUUUUAUUAUCAAAACCUUCAUACCGAACAAAGCAUAAAGAAAGGGGGACUUGACAAUUCUAGUCACACAUUAAGAAAUUUAUGUGAUCUUUGUCAUGAAUGAUGAUCUGGAUCCAAUGCUUUAUAUGAGUUAAAGCUACCAGCUUGCUUAACUUUGCACAAGUAACACAGUUCCCACUGGUUGUUUUAUUUGUUUUUUGUUCUUCGUUUAAGAGUUUAAACCUUAAUGUUCGCCACUAACGGACUACGGGUUCUUUUUGUUCUUAGUGUUUUGAUCAUUGCUGACUCCUGAUCAAAAUAGAAUUCACACGCCAGCUGGAUCUUCAUUGUCUCUCUCAUUCAAGUGAGUCAAUUCAUUUAUUACUUUUCCCAGGCUAGGGCUUCAUGCUAUCUAUUCAACAUGAAGUUUUCCUGGUGUUCUUAAUUUGCUCUUCUGACUGCUUUUUGCUCAUUCCCCAUAUUCUUUGCCCCAUUCAUAUUAAGAUUGAUGGUGUUUAUACUAGCGUUAAGGGGUAGUAGGUCUAUUGGUACCUUUAACUGGAAAAUCAUCCAGGCCCAUGUAGUUUUGGUGUUACAAGCCUUUUUCAUUUGAAGCAGGUUUUCCAUACUAAUUCUCUACUAAUAAAGAAAGCCCUUCGAUCUAUUGAAUUAUUACCGUCAUCCAUUCACUUAUGAAAUCUGCAUCUGCCAUUAUUAGCAAUUUUUUUUGUGCGAGAUAAUCAUCACUUGAUCUUUCUAUGUCUUGACAUUCUAUAUUUUGAAUGGCAGUUCGAUCCAGCACGCACCAAUUGGAGUUCCGCAAUCUGCUGGGUUUGCAAUCACAUCAUUGCAGCCUAACCUUUUAGAACGUCAAUGGUUUGCAGUGCCAACCCCCUUUCAGCAAGCUCAUUUUACCUUGGACUGAAUUGAAUUGGUAAAAUCCUAUAUGUUAAGGGGGGGGGGGGGGGGGGCCGUGGAUGUAAUGUAAUUUCAUUUGAUUCUUGUAGAGUUCCAUUUAGCAUUCUCAUAGCUGCUUCUACUAAUUGUGCUAUCUAAGCUUUGCCAUGUAUCCGUCAGUCAAAAUCGGUUCCUUGGGAUGGGAUGCAAGUUUUUUCAGAUUUUAUUACUCAAAUAUAGGAAAUUAAUUACUCCUUUUACAGUAAAAACAAAAUUGGCCAAAUAUAAGUGUACUCAAAUCAAAAGAACAACUUUUUUUCUCAGCUAUAGGCGAGUUUCAUUUUGUGUUGCUAGGUUUGACUUUAUUGGUAUGCUUUAUCCAUUGAUUAUGUGAUGAUAGUAGUAGGCUAUAUAUAAAUUAAAAUUGUUUUUUCAUUCACUUAAAAAUUCAGACAAAAUUCUAAUUUUGGAGUCUCUAAGCACUAACUUCCAACAAUUCAAAUAUUAAUUAUAAAACCUUCUAUAUAACUUAAUUAUAAAAUGCUAGAUUACCUGAUCUGUUUAAAGAAAUUUAAAUCUUUCAACUUAAAUCACUUAUCUAUUUUUAGAAUAUUUUUAAACUAUUUAAUUUUUUUUUAAAAAUGUAAAAUUAUAAAUACUAAAUAGAUAUUCAUAUAAUGAAAUUUGUUAUUCUUAAAAUCUUUUUACAAUUAAACCAGAUUUCGAUUACCUAGUAACAUCAACAAAGCAUGCUUUCGCGCACGCCCUUGGCAGUUCCGGACAAGCCAAAAUAAUUUCCUGAAAGGCCAACCAAGCAUUACAUCGCCAGAAUAUUAAAAGUAGAUAAUGAGUCCAAACUAUUAGUUUCUCACCAUUAGGAUCAGCUGACAGCAAAUAGACAUAAGAAAUAAAAGUGAAAAAAAAAACCAUUAUAUUUUUUAUUUUCCAAUUUCUAAACGGCGUUCAAAAAUUUCAGUAACUUCCUCAGUACAUUGAGAUCUUUAAUUAGAAAAAAAAAGUAUGCCCACAAAUGUAAUGAUGGAAUUGAGGACUUACCCCUGGAAUUCCCUCAAAGGGAUUUAUAUUAAAGAGAGAGAAAAAAAGAUCAAUUCUAAAUAGGGUGCCUUCUGAGACUAAAUGGAACUCCAUGCCUUAAAUAGCCAAACUGGAGUUAGGACAUAAACAGGCCCCAAGCUGCAUUUUUUUGUAAUCCAUGGGCGUAUACAGUAUAAAUUAUACCAUUUUUCUGCACUGCUGCAUACUGGGAGAAAGCAUUGAGGUAAAGAAUAGAUCUGGAAAAGAAUAACUAUAAUAUUUGAGAUGUAGUAUCGUCUGGAAUGCUCUGUAAAAACAUAGCCCUAGCAGCCGGAUCAGUUGAAAAUCGUCCUAGCACUGCAAUGGUAGCUGUGUUACUGCCGAACUUCUCAAUCCCUCUAGAAAUCAUACAGGUGUGGUUAGCCUCCACAACUACCAUGACAUCUCCACCUAGGAUCGAUGAAACUGUUUCGGCUAUUUGCCUGGUCAGCCUUUCUUGCACUUGGAGCUUGAAACCGUAAAAAUGUACUAUUGACCGCAAAAGGGACUUCCCAAGGUGAUUGAUUCCUUUAGGGCAGAAGUAUCCAAUAUGGACCACACCAUAAAAGGGAAGUAGGUGAUGCUCACAUUGUGACCAGAAUGAGAGGUUCAACUCCGAAUGCAUCUGUUUGUUGUUGCGGGAGCUGAUUUCCCCAUUAGGUUUGAGAAGAUCGGAUAUGCCACAAGCAAAGCCAUUCAGCUUCAUCUCCAACUUCGUAUUUUCAAAGUUCAUCAACCACCUCACAAAAUGGCUAGGUGUUUCCACAAGCUCUUUCCUUAAUGGAUCUUCACCCAAAGAUCUGAGUAUUGAUGCUACUGCAGCAACCAUUUCAGGGUUGGCCGCUACAAGCUCAGACGAAAUCUUAGACAUAGAUGAAGAACUUGAAGGGCACCAACUGUGAUUAACUGAGUCCCUGGUUAGAGUUCUAUCCACAGUCACACCUCUGAAUUUCAAAAGACCAAGAAAAUCACUCCAAGCGUCAGCAUUUUCAUUUCCAAAAACCCCCGAACCCGAAGACACCAGGACUUUUACCCAUCCUUGAUGCUUUGAGUCAAGAAGGACUGACUCAACAUUCGGGAAAUGAAUAUGCAAACACUCGAGUAUCACGGCAACCCCUGCUGGCCUGAUUCCAUGGUGCAGAGCUGAACAUAUUUCAUUUGCUAAACGCUGUGGGUCUUGCAGUCGUUUCGCGAAAACAUCAGCUACUCUAGACAGUUUGCUUAAUCCCACAACCCGCUGACCGGAUGGCACAUAACCUACAUGACACUUAAGCUGAAACGGGAGCAAGCACGACUCACAAUACGAGAACAGAUCAAGAUCCCGAACAAUCACAAGCCCACCUACUCCUCCAGCAUGACCAACUCCAUCAUGUAAACCCACUUCAGGGAAUAAAGCUCCCUGAACAAUAUCCUUUACUUUUUGCUUGUAACCUAAGAAGGCAAUAGAAAAGCCUUGGAUCAAAAUAUGAGACUACAACAACAUAUAUAAACACAUUAUAUUCAAUGGAGCCCAAAACAUACUAAAUCAACAAAGCCAAAAAAUAUUAAUACUUCAAAAGCCUUCAGCUUUCAUUUUUGGCUUUUUCCUAAGCGGUAAGUCCCAUUUAGCAAAGAACAGUGAACUAAUAAAUGAAAGCCAUUUGCAUGUUGGUGGUUCAUCAGCACUAAUAAGACCUUGGAACUGAACUAAAUGAACCCUGUGCUUAUUGAUUGCAAAAUAUAAAAGGAAGAGCUAAAAACAAAAUCUUUGAGUAAAAAUUAGGUAAUUAACAACCUUCUUGAACCAAGUCUGCAUAUUAUAAGCAAAGUAAAAAAUACAGAUCUCAGAAAAAUUACUCUAUUAAACUAGAAUUUGGGAUAAAUCAAAAAAGCACCUCUUGUUCCUUCUCGAAGUGCCUUGGCAACACGAAGGGGAGUUUUCUUAAGGCCAUCUCUGUUAAAAUCCUCACCCAAACCCUGCAAUAGAACUUUCACAGCAUCCUCAAUAGCUAUAGUUUCAGGCUCUUUCUCACUUACAUCCAGCUUCAUUCCAUUCUCAAUCUCAACGCAUAAAUGGCCCUCAUCCAAAGAGCCCAUUGACAAAACCACACAACAAAAAACAACAAUGGGAAUUAAAGAAUAAAAAAGAAAAAAGCAAUGAAAAAUACCCAAACCUUGAUUCGACCAAAAAAAGAAAAAAUCCACCACAGAUUCGGAAUGUUAAUUGGAAAUCCAGAUGCAGAAAACGUAAAAAAGAAAGAUAUGGAUAAAGACAGAGGAGAUAAGAGGCAGAGGAGGAGAGGGCGAAGCGAAUAGAAUGGAUACGUAGGGUUGCCGUUGGUCCUUGAAAUGUGUGGAUCUUCUCCUACUCCUAUGUUUUAUAUAUAUACAUACACAUAUAUAUUAUAAAAUAUUAAAAAAUUGCAUAGAAAAAAAUAUUUAAAUAAAAAAAAUUGUAAAACCAAUAAAUUUAUGUGGGGAAAAAAAGAAGAAUUUUAAUUGAGAACCAAAAUCCAAUGUAUUUAAGAACUGAAGCUUUUGUUAUCAUCAAUAAAGAGCCAACUUCACACGAAGACACCCAUGGCGAUGGCCGUGGCCCGCUUCAAUCAAGCGAUUGAGAAAAGAGAAGUUUUGGUUGUGACUGUGGAGCACCUUAAAAAAUUAUUAUCAUUAUUAUUUAUACUGCAAAAAUUUCAAACAUCCACAUGUUAUGGAGAAUAUCAUUUAGGUUGAACAAUUUUUCUUUUAAAUUAUUAAUAAAUUUAUUAAUUAAAAUUAAAAUAAUUUUUUAACAAUAUAUAAACAACAUCAAUUACGAGCUAAUAGUGGGAUCAGUGUUAGAUAACCGAAAACAUCUAUCACUUCAUAUCUGAUCAUCAAUCGAACGAGGAACCACAUGAAAAAUUCUUGUGCUAAUGGAAGAACCUUUCAUCAAGUUAGCUAAAUUAUCAGUAACAGAGUUUACCUUUCUAAGUACUUGCUUUAUGAGUAUUCUCAACUCGCGCCUACACAAUUCUUAGAUACAUAAAAUCAAAUCUCUAUUUAAAUGUCUUUUUAUAAUCUCCAUGAACACCUUCGAUAGCUAAAGUACAAUCUAUUUCAAUAAUAAAAUUUACCCAUUUAGCCUCCCUAGUUAAUUGGAGGCCAUCAUAAAUGGCCUAAAGUUCGGUUUGUAGCACACUAGAUCUCUCAAUAUUUCUUCAUAACGCCCACAUAUCCACCUUGUAACAAUAAUAAAAUGACACAUUUAUUCCACAAACGAGAUUUAGAUUUUGUCACACGUUUAUUUUUUUUAAUUUUUUAAAAAUAUAAUGACACAUUACAAAAUCUCAAUCUCACUUGUAGGAUAAAAAAUUUCUAUAUUAAAUAAUUAUCCUUAAAAUUCAUGUCAACAUCUGAUUGUUAAAUACACAACGCUCUAGAAGAGAAUUUAGGUUUGAACUCUAAAUAUAGUAUUAUUGAAAAAAAAAUCAUAAACCUAGGGAUAAAAUUAAAAUUUUUUUUUAGAGGGAGCGAAAUUAAAUUAUAAUUUUUAUUAUAGAAAAAAUAUAAUUUCACCAUUUUAAUAGACUAUAUCUUUAUAAUGUUUAAAGCAUUAAAUUUAAUUUUUAUAUUUUUAAGGGGGUAAAAUAUAAUUUUAUCUUUAUUAAUUUAAAAUUUUAAAAAUUUUAAAAAUAUCAUAUAUGCAACUCUUACAAGCACCUAACUUUACCACUACCUAAACCCUAAAAAAAUUAAUCAUUCAUCAACCAGACAUAAAAGAGUUCUUAAUCAUACCAUAAAAAUGUUAGUUAAUUUGUAAAAAAUGAAGUUGAAUAUCAUAAUAAGCAAAGCUUUUUUAAGGCCAAAAUUUAGAGUUAAAAUUUGACCAUUCAAGUAAAAGAGAGAUAGGAAAAGGUAAAGGAGAUGUGUGGGUCAAAAAAGGAGAGAUUGAUGGUACCAAUGUCUAGAUCUGUUUUACUUAAAAAAUCUGAUAUAUAUAUAUAUAUAUUAAAAAUGAUUGGGCCAAAACCUAAAUGGGUAGGAGAGAUUGGGACGUCUCAUUCUCACCAACCCACCAACCCAAUUUAAACAAAACUCAAAAUAAAUGAGAAAAAGUAAAAUUUAAUUUGAUGAAAAAUUUUAGUAGUUUAACCUAUCGAUCCUGUUUAAACAAUCGGUGGAUUGAGUCUUUGUUCGAUUAAUAUCGGUAUUAUUUUCAGUAUAAUAUCUUUUUAUUUAAGAGUUAAGAAGAAGCUAUAAAUAAUUCUAGAGGCUAUAAGCAAGCUGUAAUUUAUCAUAUUUAUGUUUUUUUUCUGUUUUGGUUUUUGCAUGACUUUUAUUAUUAUUAUUUUUUUGUGGUUUUUGGUUUUAAGUUUCUUAGUUGUUUUUCUUUUAGUUUUGUUGGUUUCAAGUUUUGGUUUUUUUUUUUGAUGAUUUUUUCUUCACUAAUCAAAGUCAACCUAACUCAAUUAUACUCAAACCAAGUUUAAAUUGUAGAGUUGGCAUUAUUAAAAGAGCUUUACCUGAAUACCACUUCAACAUAAACAGAUCUAUACCAGGGAUGGAUCUAGGGUGGCACGGGAAGGAGGGGGACUGCCCCCUUAGAAUUUUAAAAUUUUUAAAUUUUAUAUAUAAAUUAUCAUGUAUUUUAAAAUUGGUGUCCACAUUGUAUGACAUUCGCCCCAUUGGUCAAAUUGUAUUUCAUAUAAUUCACCCCCUUAAGCCAUAAAAUUAUACUUUAUAUUAACAAAGUAUUUUUCAAUUUUUAAUUAUAUAACUUUAAUAAUAAUAGUAAUCAAACAUUAAUGUAGGAUAGGAUUUGAAACACUAAAUUUAGAGGUUCAAUAUAGACUUUAAAGCUAAAAUCCAAAAUUAAUUGAUUUGGCCUACACCCUUAAACAUUAGGUUAGUGACAUUUUUGUAUUUUGAUUUGUAUGUCUUGCUAAAGAAUUAUCUUCUUCUAAUAAGAUGUUGACACUGCCGAGAGAUAAAUAAAGGAGUUUGAUGUCGAGACUGAGAGCACAAAGUAAAAAAAAAUACAAAUCAUCUUCCUCUUAACUCCUUAUGCAAAAGACCUCUCGAUAAAAUAUUUUUACAUAAAUUAUGUAUUUUAUUUAUUUGACUUAUUAAUUUUUUUCCUUUUUCCUAAUAUGUUUUUUAAUAUAUUAUUACAGUCUUUUAGUUUUUCAAUUAAAUUAUGGUCAACAAAAAGAUCGAAUCUUUUUUCAAGAAAAGGAUGUCAGAAAAUAAUAAUGAUCAAACGAUUUCUCAACCUUCUGUUAUUAAUGGAGGAAAAAUUAAAUAUCGAACCUUCCCAAGCUCCUGAAUGAGAUAGCAGGUUUUCUCAAUUUCAAGCUCCUAAACGUUGUAUCGAGUCUUCCCAAGCUCUUGAAUGAUAUAUCAGGUCUUCUCGAUCCCAAGAUCCUAAACGAGAAUUUUUUUACAGAUUCUAUCAUUGAUAAGUUCAAUCUUAUGUAAAAGUGAAUAGUGUAAUUUAGGAUAUCUAGUACUGAGAAAUAGGACUAAGGUCAAUUUUUUUUUUAAAUUUAAAAUUUGAAAUUAUAAUGAUAUUUAUGAAAUUUUUAGUAUAGUAUUAAUUAUUCUUUUUUACAUAUUGGAAAAAAAUAUUUAAUUUUAUAUAACGUAAUCUUUUUCUUUUAAUUUUUUUAUAAUUAAAUCAUUCAUGUUUAAAAAAAACAUUAAAUUAAUUUAUUUAAUAAGAAAAAAAUUCGAAAAAUAUUAACACUUUUUACUUUAAAAAAAAAAAUCAUUCAGAUUUAAAAAUUAUGUCCCUCUAAGUAAAAUCCUAAAUCUAUCUCUAUCUAUGAAGGGAUGGUUAGGGAGUCGUGAUUUUAAUAUGAUCAUUGUUUAUCGCCUUACUAUUCAUCAAUUUGGGGGUAGGUUCUCUCUUUGUCUCCCACUUACGUCAAUAUCAUACGAGAUGAAAAUAAGACAACUAAAAUUCCUAGUGGGACUUUGAUUUAAAAGUUUUGAUUAUUUGAAUUAAAUUAAAAUUUUAUUUUAUUUAAUUUAUAAUAUUUUUAAUUUUUAUGAUAUAUAAAUAUUACAUAAGAAUUAUUGGUUAUCUUUUAUUUUUUUGAAAAAAUAUUUUUAAAAAAAAUUAAAAAAUUAUUACUCUAAAAUCAGAAAACAAAUUUAUUUUAUCAAAAUCAAAACCAAAAUAUUAAAACUCAAAAUUUGUAUAUAAGAAUAAAAUUGCAGCUUAAAUAAAACAUCAACCAAGCACACAUCACAUGGGAGUAACAUGGAGAUUCUAAGAGAUUUGCAGGGUUGAUUAAUUAAUGAUAAGAAAGAUAAAAUUUUGGCUGCCUUUUCAAUCUUUACCAUUACUCAAAGUGCUAGUAUUGUCUUAUCCUUUGCGGCAAUCGGUUAGAAGUAAAAUUAAAAUCAACAACUAUACUUUAAAAUAAUUAUCCUAGAUCACUUUAGUCAAACGUAUGCUUUAAACCAAAAAAUAAAAAGAAAAUCAACUACAGGAGGAUUAACCGAAAGAAAAUCAAACUUAAUUAACCCGUAACUUUAAUUUAGUAAAAAAAAUAUUAAUAGUAUAAAUUUCUCAACAACUACUGUUAUUAUUCUUUUCUUUUUUAAAUCUAAUUAGUUUGGUAGGCAAUUUAAUUAGAUGGUAUUUGACUUUGGGCCAAGAUUUUUCGUUAUGAUUUUAAGUCAAAGUAGGGUGUUAGAGAUCAAUGAAUCUUAUAAAUUCCAUGUCAAUUUGGAUUGUUGUUGGCCAGUUGCCACCGAGUCCCAUAUAAGCACCACACCAACUCCUACGGGUUGGUGUCAAAUUGACUACACCCACAACAAAAGUAUUCUUGAUUAAGAAAUGGUAAAAUAUAUCAGAGGUCCCUUUAUAAUCAGGAGAAAUGCAUUUUCAUCCUUUUAUUUUAUAUUUGAUGUAAACAAAAAUAAUUGUUGUAACACCACUGAUUGAGCGCGUCAAACAACCAAUGAAGACGUUAAACUUAGCUAUUGAAACACGAAAAUCGAAAAACACCAAAAAUUUCUAAACACUCGAAAAACCUCACUAAAUGAAAUUAUUUUCAGAUUUUACUUUUUAAUACUUAGAGAUCUUAUGUUUGAGGGUAUUUAUACCAGUGGUUCCUAUCAAAAUUACCGACCCCACUAUCACACAAACAAAUCUAUAGAAAUAAUGGGCAACAAAAUGUGGGCACGUGGGAGUGACCCCACAAAACAUGGGAAUGUAGGAGGUUUUCCCACCAACCAACUCCAACAUUUGAAACAUUUUUUAAAAACAUCUUUGUGUAUUAUAUAUGAAGAAAAUAAAUGUAAAAAGUUCAAACCGUGUGAAAAAAAGGAAUAGUUAACGUGCUCGCAUCUUAAAGUCAUUAAAAUAUGCUUUAAGUUCAUGUAUUUGCAGUAUAUUUGGAAUUUAAUCAAUUUAUUUUUAUUUCUUGAUUCAAAAAUUUAGAUUUAAUUAUUAACCUCGUUAAAAUUGUUCUGUUAAAUUUAUUGAUGUGACAUUUUAAAACAAUAAAAAUACUCAUUUUGUAGUCAUAUAAUAAAAUAAAUGAUGUAGUAAUGGGCUUGAAAUUAAUAGAAAAAUUUUAAUAAUAUUAAUAAUAGGAUUUGUAUUUUUAAAUCUAAAUAGUUAAGGGAUUAAAUUCUUAAAAAUAAAAAUAAAGAGACUGAAUUUUAAAUACACAAAAAGUACAUGAACCUAAAAUAAAUUUUAAUCAUUUGUAAAAUAUGACUUGGCUUAAUUAAGUGCCAUGAUAUAAAAAAAAGAAGAAAAUUUGGUGUGUAAAAUCUACUUAACCCAAGAACCAACCCAAACCUAAAAACUAAAUCCACUGCGGAAACCCACACAAAACAUAUCUAAACCCACAAACUAAAACCAUCUGAUUGGGAUUUGGUGAUUUUCUUAGUGGGUUUCCAGUAGUGUUUUUGGGAUUGAGUUGGUUCAUGGGUUAAAUGGUUUUAAUACAAUAUGAGCAAAGUCCACAUCAUUUGUGGUCAAAUUUUAAAUAAGGUCCCUAUACUAUGUUUUCUUUUGCAAUUUUAGUCAAUUUUCUGCUUUUCUAAAUUAAAGAAAAAUAUAUUUCUUGGGGGAAAUAAGAAACCCUUUUCCAAAAUGUGCUUAUUUUUUAAUUCUAGGUGGAACUAAUUUAAAUUUAUUUGUGUGCUUUUCACCUAAUAAAAUGUCAUAUUCGCAAUUCACAUACUAUUUAAUGGAAAAUUGUACAACAUAGAUAACAAGAUUAAUGAAAUGUGAAAAUUGAAUUAAAAUUAAAGUUUGAUGCAUACAAAUACAUCAAUUUAAAGUUGAUAUAUAACAUUGCAAAAUUUAUUAAAAUUCAUGGAUAAUUUUAAUAUUUAUAUUUUUUUAUAAUUAGAUAACUUUUUGUACGUUUAAAAAAAAAGAAAAAGGAAAAAAAAUUAAUGUGAAAAGACGUGAAAUUAAAGUUCAAAAUUAGAAAAAUAAAUAUUGGUUAAAAUAAUUGUCAAACACUCGUUUAACAUAAGAUUAAAUCAUAUAAACUUGUUUCUAUUUCAAUAUUAUAUAUGUAACACCCCUCGCCCUCAUCCAACGCCUGGACGGGAUUCGAGGUGCUACCUGACUUUACUAACACUUCCAUACUAAACAGUGCCAUGAAAUCUCAAAUAAUUAAAAACUUUUCUUUUCUCAUGCAAUCUGUCCUUUAUGCGAGCUUACGAGGCCCAAUACAUGCAUUCGGGAUGGUUCGGGACCCAACCGAGAACUCAUGAAAAACUUAGGAAAUCUCUUGUAUCAAGGCUCCACACGCCCGUGUAGGUAUAGAACACACGCUCGGGUGCUAAGAACACGCCCGUGUCCCGAACCCAUGUCCAAAACCUGGACAAAUACAAGGCUAUUUUCCAAGCCAUUUUGUCACACUCACAACACAUGCACGCAUACCUAUACAAUAGCAUACAACAUGGCAAAAUUAGGCACUUAAACCUUCCUAACAUGACAUGACCAUGGUAAUUUCACAUGCAACCAUUACAAUAAGUUUUUCUUUCAUCUUUACCAUAUUAAUGCUAUAGCUAUCAACAUGUCAUCAAACCUCAUGUCCAUCACAAAGCAUGAAUAAUCAUAUCCACAAACCAUUCAUGAAGCAUUAUUAACUAUUUACCAAUCACUUAAUCCUGCAUUAGUUAUUAGCUCAUCAAUGAAUCUCAAUUCAAUCUCUAGGCAUACAUGUUGUAAGCCACAUCACAAGAGAUAAUAACAUACAUGCAUAAGAAUAAUCAUAUGGCCCAUAACGAUAUUAGCCGACAUAGGCCAAUUUACAUGACUAAUACUACCUUAAUAACAAGCCAAUGCCUUUGGCUAAAUCAUAAUAUUACAUACUCACAUUAAAACCCUAUACAUGCCAUAGACUAGAAUCACUUGAGUUUACUUACGCCGAUAGCGUUAACUCGACAGUGUGAUAAUAUCUCUGACGGCCUUCAACCCGAGCUAACCUGGAAACUCUAGAAAACAUGGGAAAGAAGGGGGGGUAAGCUUUCACUUAGUAAGUUCAUAUGAAAACAAUAAGCAACUCAUUAACUUGUUUUAUCAAUGUUUACAACAUAUUCUCAAGUUCACUGCAAGCUGUCUUCCUAAGCAAUAGUCACUAAAUUAUUUAUAUCUGGAGCUACAAAACUCCAAAUUAAGUUCCGUUAAUUUUCCCUGAAACUAGACUCAUUUAUCUUUCUUUCAUAAAAUUUCCAGAAUUUUUAGUCAAGCCAUUUAGUACAGUUUAUUAGUUAAAGUCUCCCCUGUUUCAGGGUAUGACCACUCUGACCCUUGUGCACUACAAACCGAAUUUCUCCCUGUACAAAAUUCCAACGACGAUGCCAUUUUUUCCCUUAAAAAUAGACUCAAUAAGGAAUCCAUGCAUGUAAGGUAUGACUCUUAAUAAUUUUUUUACAAUUUAUGAUGAAUUUCUAAAGUUAGAACAGGGGAUCUCGAAUUCAUUUAGACCCUGUUUUACAAGAAUUCAAAUAUCACACAAUAUAGAAUUCUUUUUCUUCCUCUGUUUCUUUCAUGUAAAAAUAGACUCAUUAAGCUUUAAUCUCAUAUUUUAUUCUGCCUCUAACUAAUUUUCCACUAUUUUUAGUGUAUUUUCAAAGUUACAUUACUACAGUAACUCAAAUCUGUCAAGGCUAAGUUACUCAUUCAUGAUCAUUGUUCACAAAAUUAAUACAACAUCAUUUCAUCCAUCAUGGUAAGAACACAUAUUAUGCAUCAUAGAUCAUCACAUAUCAAGGCAUUCUCAUAGGCUUAAUAUACAUACUUGCACAACUCGUAACAUAACUCAAGUGUAUACUCACCAAUGACUUACCUCGUUGGGACCAUCAUCAACUCUUUCCUUGGAUUACCCGUUGAACACUUGGAAUACUAAUUGGAUACUCAGAAAAGCCUUUGCACAUAAGUGCCUCAAUUGUAGCUAAAGCUACCUCAUAUCUCAUGACAUUUCAAUGCUCACUCUCGAGCUAGUCAUCUAGACUCAUAAUUUCUAGUGACAUGUCACUCGUAUCCUAUUCUAUUUCUAAGGUUCAAACGAGAUUUUUCCUCGUCUAUUAAGGCUUUGUCUUAUCAUAUUUCUAUUAAUCACAUACACUUAAUAUCUGUACAAUUCAUGUAAUGAUAACAUUUAAAUACAUGUAUAGCAUGGUAUUGUUUACAUACAAACUUACCUCAAUACCACAAAGGUGAAAAGGACAUAAUCAUCCCUUAAUCGAUUUCUUUCUGUUCUAGGUCCAAAUCUCGAUUUUCUUGAUCUAUAAUAUCACAUUUAGCCUACCAAUCAGUCACAAUAUUCAUAUGGGUAUAAAAAUCAUAUUUUUACAAAUUUUUAUUUUGACCCCUAAACUUUUGCAUAUUUGCACUUUUGCCUCAAUGCUCGUAAAAUAAUUUUUAUCACAUUUCUUUACUCCUUGAGUCUAGAUGAACCAUUUUCAUAACUAUAGCAACUCAUAAUUUCAACUAUUUUACACAUUACAACUUAUUUUACAACUUAGCAAUCUAGCCCUUUUUUAAGAUGUUUUCAUGUAAUUUCUUUCACAAAAGUUGUUUAUUAGACAACUAGGACUCAUAAUCUUCCAUAAAAACACAGAAAACAACACAUUUACUCUCAUGGCAAAACCCUAGACUCUUCAUCAUUUUGCAAAAUAGUCCCCUCUUAUGAAAGCUCAUGCUUUAGGGGUUCCAAAAAUGUAAAAAUCAUCAAGCAAAGACAUUAAAAUCACUUACAAGCAAGUGAAAUAUGUUGCUGAAAUUUUCCAGCUUCAAAACCCUUUCUUUGCUGCAUAUUUCGGUGAAGGAGAAGAGAAAAAUGAUAGCUUUUUCUUUUUUAUUUGUUAACAAUAAAACUAGUCAAAAUUGGUGACCAAAUUUCACCUAAUUUUGACUUUUCAACAAUUUUGUCUCCCAUGGCCGGCCAUCACACUUUCAAUGGCCUAAUUUCACUUUAAAGACCCCCAAUUUAAGAUACAAGGCAAUUUAACACACCUUUAGGUAUUAAAACACAACUUUUACCUUUUACGCGAUUUAGUCCUUUUUCGGAAUUGGACUAGAAAUUGCUAAAAUUAACUUACCAAAAAUUACAUGCACUUAUAAAAUUAUAUUAUAACACAUAAAAUAAUACUAAAAUAAUUUUAUCUAGCCUCGAAAUAGUGGUCCCGAAACCACUGUUCCGACUAGGCCCAAAAUCGGGCUGUUACAA
rnacentral:lncRNA from 1 species